AAACGUAGGAGGCGAGCGUUAUCCGGAAUCACUGGGCGUAAAGGGCAAGUGGGCGGUUGCAAAAGUUGGGCGUGACAGGUCUCGGCUUAACUGAGAAAGGUCGCUCAAGACUAUGCAACUAGAGAGCAGGAGAGGAAGGCGGAACUCCUAGUGUAGCAGUGGAAUGCUUAGAUAUUAGGAGGAACACCGGUGGCGAAGGCGGCCUUCUGGUCUGCAUCUGACGCUGAGAGGCGAAAGCUAGGGUAGCAAACGGGCUUAGAUACCCCGGUAGUCCUAGCUGUAAACGGUGGAUACUAGGUAUUGGGGGUAUAGACUCCCGCAGUGCCGAAGCAAACGCGUUAAGUAUCCCGCCUGGGGACUACGACCGCAAGGUUAAA
rnacentral:rRNA from 1 species